CUGAUUCGUUACAACGGCGAGUGAAGCGGCAAGAGCUCAAAUUUGAAAUCUAGUACCUUUGGUGCUCGAGUUGUAAUUUGUAGAGUAGUGCCUUGGGGCCGUUCCUUGCCUAUGUUCCUUGGAACAGGACGUCAUGGAGGGUGAGAACCCCGUGUGGCGAGGGGUGCGGUUCUGUGUAAGGCCUGCUCGAAGAGUCGAGUUGUUUGGGAAUGCAGCUCUAAGUGGGUGGUAAAUUCCAUCUAAAGCUAAAUACAGGCGAGAGACCGAUAGCGAACAAGUACAGUGAUGGAAAGAUGAAAAGAACUUUGAAAAGAGAGUGAAAAAGUACGUGAAAUUGUUGAAAGGGAAGGGCAUUUGAUCAGACAUGGUGUUUUGCGCCCCCUGCUCCUUGUGGGUGGGGGAAUCUCGCAGCUCACUGGGCCAGCAUCAGUUUUGGCGGCUGGAUAAAUCCGGAGGAAUGUGGCUUCUCUCGGGAAGUGUUAUAGCCUGCGGGAAUACGGCCAGCCGGGACUGAGGAACGCGACGCAAGUCAAGGAUGCUGGCAUAAUGGUUAUAUGCCGCCCGUCUUGAAACACGGACCA
rnacentral:rRNA from 1 species